GGAAGUAAAAGUCGUAACAAGAGCUCCGUUGGUGAACCAGCGGAGGGAUCAUUACCGAGUUAUCAACUCCCAAACCCCUGUGAACAUACCCCACGUUGCUUCGGCGGGACCGCCCCGGCGCCCUCGGCGUCCCGGAACCAGGCGCCCGCCGGAGGACCCAAACUCUUGUUUAAACCACAGUGGCAUAUUCUGAGUCUCACAAGAAAAAUGAAUCAAAACUUUCAACAACGGAUCUCUUGGCUCUG
rnacentral:misc_RNA from 1 species